AUCAUUUCUCAGCCUUUUGGCUAAGAUCAAGUGUAUUUAGUCUUAAAUCAG
rnacentral:snRNA from 1 species